AAAACAUGGAGGGACCAAAUGAGAAAUUCACGCAAAGCAGCUAAACGCGCGAUCCUCUCCGGGUCGGGUCGGUUCGCACGCGGGUCAGCACGAAACGGUGCCGUUUCAGCACCUGGGUUCCAAAGACUAAGCGGCGCCGUUUUAUUUGUUAUUAAAACAGAAAAAAAAUUCAUUUGAAUGGCAAUCUGCCAUUUUCUACAAAAAUCCAAACAAAUCCCUAACCCCCAUUCUUUUAUCGCUCAGUUGGCCGACAAAGGAACCCUCAGCUCCGUCCUCCACACACCACUGUGAUCGGUGAUAGACAUAGAGCGAAGGUCCAUCUCCUCCCCUUAAAACCAAGCUCAGAAGCCUUAAAAGUUUCCACCCCGGAGACCCCUCUUUGCUUCGAUUGCAACGAAGAAGAUGAGGCUCCGACGGUGCACUUGUGAAGUAUGUACGGCGUGGAGAUGGCUGUCCGUGGGAGAGCUGCGGAUGUGGCCAUGACGCGCUGGAGAUCCCUGCUGAGGCAACUGCGGCGCUAGCCUUAGGGUUCCAGUUUCUGGAGCCGAAGAUCUGGGCCAUUCGGGCUCGUUUUAGAAGUGGGCUGUUGGGCCUUAUGAGUUUAGGUUUAGAAUCUGAAAAUUGGGUAGUUUAUUUUAGGCCAUAGUGGGCCAUUGUAACAUGGACUUGGACUUUGUUUUAUUAUUGGGCUUGUAUGGACUGUUUAUUAGUUUUUGUUUUUGUACAGGCCCGGGCAAAAAUGGGCCAUUACAAUACUGAUUGUUGAAUUGUCGAAUUAGCCAAAAUUUUAAAAAGAUUAACAGCUCAAUGACUUAAAUAAAAA